rnacentral:rRNA from 1 species
GCAUAUCAAUAAGCGGAGGAAAAGAAACCAACCGGGAUUGCCCUAGUAACGGCGAGUGAAGCGGCAAGAGCUCAAAUUUGAAAGCUGGCUCCUUCGGGGUCCGCAUUGUAAUUUGCAGAGGAUGCUUCGGGAGCGGUCCCCAUCUAAGUGCCCUGGAACGGGCCGUCAUAGAGGGUGAGAAUCCCGUAUGGGAUGGGGUGCCCGCGCCCGUGUGAAGCUCCUUCGACGAGUCGAGUUGUUUGGGAAUGCAGCUCUAAUUGGGUGGUAAAUUUCAUCUAAAGCUAAAUAUUGGCCGGAGACCGAUAGCGCACAAGUAGAGUGAUCGAAAGAUGAAAAGCACUUUGAAAAGAGAGUUAAACAGCACGUGAAAUUGUUGAAAGGGAAGCGCUUGCGAUCAGACUCGCUCGCGGGGUUCAGCCGGCCUUCGGGCCGGUGUACUUCCCCGCGGGCGGGCCAGCGUCGGUUUGGGCGGCCGGUCAAAGGCCCCUGGAAUGUAACGCCUCUCGGGGCGUCUUAUAGCCAGGGGUGCCAUGCGGCCUGCCCGGACCGAGGAACGCGCUUCGGCUCGGACGCUGGCAUAAUGGUCGUAAGCGACCCGUCUUGAAACACGGACCAAGGAGUCUAACAUCUACGCGAGUGUUCGGGUGUCAAACCCGUGCGCGCAGUGAAAGCGAACGGAGGUGGGAACCCCUCGGGGUGCACCAUCGACCGAUCCUGAUGUCUUCGGAUGGAUUUGAGUAAGAGCGUAGCUGUUGGGACCCGAAAGAUGGUGAACUAUGCCUGAAUAGGGCGAAGCCAGAGGAAACUCUGGUGGAGGCUCGCAGCGGUUCUGACGUGCAAAUCGAUCGUCAAAUUUGGGUAUAGGGGCGAAAGACUAAUCGAACCAUCUAGUAGCUGGUUCCUGCCGAAG